ensembl:Y_RNA Y_RNA Y RNA
AAUUAGGCUGAGUGCAGUGGUGUUUUACAACAAAUUGAUCACAACCAGUUACAGGUUUCUUUGUUCCUUCUCCACUCCCACUGUUUCACUUGGCUUACCUUAA